AAACCAUGAUGUGGACAACUCGUCAAAAAAUCCUUGAAUCAUUCCCAACAAUCAUAUAGAGUUUCAUUCUCCUACUGAAGAAACCCUGCUAUGUCAUUCCUCAACUC
rnacentral:snoRNA from 1 species